UCUACAGUACUCUUGUCGCCGCCGCGCCGUAUCUUUUUUGUCCGGUGUGGGCAUAUCUGCCGUAUGAAACCGCGUGUUUUCGGGCCAAGUCCGUGUUAUUUGUCUUGUCGUUCGUGUCAACAUCGUAAGCCGCCGCUAUAUUAUCUUACUGUCGGCUGAAAGAAUAUAUUAUAUUAUAUUAUAUAAAUGUCUCUCAUAUACACCCACAGAAGAUCUUUUAGAAUCAAAAAAAUGGAUAAAUAACAAAUCAAUAUUUGACAAGAUUAAAUUUAUCAUUGUGGAUUUUGAAUUCACAAUGAUACAUCGAAUAGAUCUACUUCUAGUAUCGGGGUCUAUGGCAGACAACGAAGAGAAUUUUAUUCCAAUAAAAUUAGCAGGAAGGCCACUAGUUUUAACAAAGAAUAAAAUUGAAAUAUUGAAAAAUCAUGAAGUUGCUCCAUUAAAAAAACAGUUAAUAAAAAUUUUUAAAAAUAAAACAAAUAUUUUAAAUCCAAUAUUGGAGCAACUUCAAUUAAGUUUAGAAAUUAAGAAGGGGUCUAAUUUAUCACCUACAUUUAUGAAUAAUUAUUUGCAAUCUGAUAAUAGAGAACCUAUUAUUGUAUUAUGGAACGGCACAACGGAUAAAGAAAUAAUAAAUCGGUUAAAAUUAAAUAUGAAGAAAAUAUUAAAUAUCACGUCCUAUAGUGAUAACAAUGAUAGUUAUUUAAUUUAAAAUUAUUUGACAUGACAGAAAAUACACAUAAAUUAUUAUAUUCGUCGAGCAUUGGGUACCAUGAAAAAAAUGGGCGAAUGUUAAAUUUGAUGGAAACCCAUGACGCAAUAUGGAAUAUAAAACACAAAAUAACACAUAGUCAUGACCCGGUAGCAGAUGUUAUAAUUACAAAAUGUAUUUUUAAUAAUAUUAUUAAAAAAAUGGGCCUUAUACAAUUAAUCAAAGCGUGCCAAACAAGUUUAUAAUAAAAACUAAAUAUUUUAAAAUUGUUUUGCAUGUCUUAUAAACUUAUAUUUGUCUCAUUUUUACCAAUAAUAUGAUUGAAUAUAUAUAUAUUUAUUGAUAUAAUUAGACUGCUACCGGAUCAUGUAUUGGCUAUGUAUUAUUUUAUGGUCUGUUAUGCAUAUUAAAUUGUGCGUUUCAUUAAGGUUCAGCGUCAUCUCAUUUGUUUCAUGGUAACAAUAUGUUCCUGCAAAGUAUAACAAUUUGUUUGUUUUUUCUGUCACAUCAUAAGCUUUUAAAUUGAAUUUACUGUCGUUGUUAUCACUAUAAGAUGUGAUGCUCAACAUUAAGUUUAUAAAAAAAGUGAAUCAUGUUACAUAUUAUUUCUUUAUCUGUUGUCCCGUUCCAGAAGAUUCUAAUAUAGAUAGUUAUGUAAAUAUUUGUAAACUUUUUUUGUAAUUACAACUUUACUAAUGUAUUGUGUAUAUUGUAUUUUGUAUAAUAUAUUAAACUUUGUUUGUUUACCUUUAACAUUAUUA